CAGUAGCCGCGGGAAUACGUAGGGUGCGAGCGUUAAUCGGAAUUACUGGGCGUAAAGCGUGCGCAGGCGGUUUUGUAAGACAGGCGUGAAAUCCCCGGGCUCAACCUGGGAAUGGCGCUUGUGACUGCAAAGCUAGAGUGCGGCAGAGGGGGAUGGAAUUCCGCGUGUAGCAGUGAAAUGCGUAGAUAUGCGGAGGAACACCGAUGGCGAAGGCAAUCCCCUGGGCCUGCACUGACGCUCAUGCACGAAAGCGUGGGGAGCAAACAGGAUUAGAUACCCGUGUAGUCCCUGUCUCUUAUAC
rnacentral:rRNA from 1 species